rnacentral:rRNA from 1 species
GAUGAACGCUAGCGGCAGGCCUAACACAUGCAAGUCGAGGGAGAGGUUACCUUCGGGUAACCAAAACCGGCGCACGGGUGCGUAACGCGUAUACAAUCUGCCUUUCACAUAGGGAUAGCCCGAAGAAAUUUGGAUUAAUACCUAAUGGUAUAUAAGAGCGGCAUCGUUUUUAUAUUAAAGCUACGGUGGUGAAAGAUGCGUAUGCGUUCUAUUAGCUAGUUGGAGAGGUAACGGCUCCCCAAGGCGACGAUAGAUAGGGGUUCUGAGAGGGAUGUCCCCCACACUGGUACUGAGAUACGGACCAGACUCCUACGGGAGGCAGCAGUGAGGAAUAUUGGACAAUGGUCGGAAGACUGAUCCAGCCAUGCCGCGUGCAGGAUGAAGGUCCUAUGGAUUGUAAACUGCUUUUGUAAGGGAAGAAUAAGGGGUACGUGU